rnacentral:rRNA from 1 species
ACGGGAGGCAGCAGUGGGGGAUAUUGGACAAUGGGGGAAACCUGAUCCAGCGAUGCCGCGUGAGGGAAGAAGGUUUUCGGAUUGUAAACCUCUGUGGAGGGGGACGAUAAUGACGGUACCCCUCAAGGAAGCCACGGCUAACUACGUGCCAGCAGCCGCGGUAAUACGUAGGUGGCGAGCGUUGUCCGGAAUUACUGGGUGUAAAGGGAGUGUAGGCGGGAAAGCAAGUCAGAAGUGAAAACUAUGGGCUCAACCCAUAGCCUGCUUUUGAAACUGUUUUUCUUGAGUGAGGCAGAGGCAAGCGGAAUUCCAAGUGUAGCGGUGAGAUGCGUAGAUAUUUGGAGGAACACCAGUGGCGAAGGCGGCUUGCUGGGCCUUUACUGACGCUGAGGCUCGAAAGCGUGGGGAGCAAACAGGAUUAGAUACCCUGGUAGUCCACGCCGUAAACGAUGAUAACUAGGUGUGGGGAGCGAACCUUUCCGUGCCGGAGUAAACACAAUAAGUUAUCCACCUGGGGAGUACGGCCGCAAGGCUGAAACUCAAAGGAAUUGACGGGGGCCCGCACAAGCAGUGGAGUAUGUGGUUUAAUUCGAAGCAACGCGAAGAACCUUACCGGGUCUUGACAUCGAGUGAAAGGCUAAGAGAUUAGUCCCUCUCUUCGGAGACACGAAGACAGGUGGUGCAUGGUUGUCGUCAGCUCGUGUCGUGAGAUGUUGGGUUAAGUCCCGCAACGAGCGCAACCCUUAUCAUUAGUUGCUACGCAAGAGCACUCUAAUGAGACUGCCGUUGACAAAACGGAGGAAGGUGGGGAUGACGUCAAAUCAUCAUGCCCCUUAUGACCUGGGCUACACACGUACUACAAUGGCAAUUAACAAAGAGCAGCGAAACUGCGAGGUGGAGCGAAUCUCCAAAAAUUGUCUCAGUUCGGAUUGCAGGCUGCAACUCGCCUGCAUGAAGUCGGAAUUGCUAGUAAUCGUGGAUCAGCAUGCCACGGUGAAUACGUUCCCGGGCCUUGUACACACCGCCCGUCACACCAUGGGAGUCGGUAACACCCGAAGCCUGUAGUCUAACGCAAGAGGACGC